GAUGAACGCUAGCUACAGGCUUAACACAUGCAAGUCGAGGGACCGGCGCCCGGGUGAGUAACACGUAUCCAACCUGCCCUUUACUCGGGGAUAGCCUUUCGAAAGAAAGAUUAAUACCCGAUGUAAAGGAUGGGGAUGCGUUCCAUUAGGUUGUUGGUGAGGUAACGGCUCACCAAGCCUUCGAUGGAUAGGGGUUCUGAGAGGAAGGUCACCCACAUUGGAACUGAGACAAGGUCCAAACUCCUACGGGAGGAAGCAGUGAGGAAUAUUGGUAAAUGGGCGUUAGCCUGAACCAGCCAAGUAGCGUGAAGGAUGAAGGAUUAUGGGUCGUAAACUUCUUUUAUAUAAGAAUAUGUAUUAUAUGAAUAAGGAUCGGCUAACUCCGUGCCAGCAGCCGCGGUAAUUC
rnacentral:rRNA from 1 species